rnacentral:lncRNA from 1 species
UCUUCUUAUCUAAACAUGUAAAUAUUGAUUUCUCUCAAAGGAGGAAAUAUGCGUGACAUCCAUCUGUCAGACCUGUAAUGGCCUGACGCCACGAGGGUUUACCCCUACGUGAGUAGAUAAAAUUUGACAACAAUCUAAAGGCAUUAUUAAGUAAUCAGAAUCACUUUCAGUAGAACCAAUCCCUCUGGCAGCUCAAGGAAUACCAGAAGAAGAAAAAACAGCCAUGUAGGCUUGGCAAAAUUAUUAUUAGUUGAGCUAUUCUGUCCCUUUGUGAUAUAGAAAAGACAACUUGAGGACAAGAACAGAGAACCUGAAGUUCCCCUUUACAAUUCUGAUCUACAACUCCAGGGUAGACAAUAAGACCUUGUAGGCUGCAAGAGCCUGCCUCUGUCAUUAUUGUCCAGUGGCUUCACCUGCUCGGGAGAGCGCCUUCCAGGCCCUAAUAGCCUUUUCAUUUGAUUCAGAACUACUAAAAACUGGCUCCUUGAGCUCAUCUAGUGAUGAGUAUAGGCUCCUUCUCUUAGAAGCCUCCGCUGAUUGAUCUUUUUUCUUUUCUUUUUCCUUCUCCUUCCUUCUAAUCUCUCCCCAGGUAUUCUUACCUGACCUAAACUUUUCCUCAGGUUCAAGACCCUUGGAAAGGCCUGUAUACUUAUUUUGUGAACCAUAUUUUCUCUUUGCUCCUACUCUCUCUCCCCGCUUUACUUCUGAUAGAUUGUCCUGAAUUUCAUCUAGAAUUUUUAGCCCUGCCUUAAUCACUUGAUAACAUGUGAAAAGGAACAAAAGGGCUUCUAACACUAGAGAAAGUUUAAGGCCAAGCAUACCUCGUAAAGCCAUUUUCCACUUUACUUCUGAUAGACUGUCCUGAAUUUCGUUAGAAAGUUCAAGAUCAGACUUACCUCGUUCCCCAGCUGAAAAGUUCUGAAUUCAUACAGUUGAAUCCUUCUUAACAGUCUGCUUUACGGGAACCUUUAUCACCGUCGUUCCCCAGCUGAUGAGUUCUGAAUUCGGCAGUUGAAUCCUUCUCAACAGUCUGUGUUACGGGAACCUUAUAACCUUGAUUCGCAGUUCUGGUUCUGGAAUGAGGUAUCCCUCCUGCGCCAGUCCGGAGUUUUUUCUCGUCCCGGAUUUUCUCGUCCCGGAAUUCGGCACCAAUUGUUAUUCGACGCGUUCUCACGACCGGCCAGGAAGAACACAACAACCAGAAUCUUCUACGGCAAAGCUUUAUUGCUUAUAUCUUUAUCGGGCCAGAGUGUAAGAAGCAAGAGAGGGAAGCAAGAGAGCGAGAAAAACGAAACCCCUUCUAUUUUAAAGAGAACAACCAUUGCCUAGGGCGCAUCACUCCCUGAUUGGCUGCAGCCCAUGGCCGAGCUGACGUUCACGGGAAAAACAGAGUACAAGUAGUCGUAAAUACCCUUGGCUCAUGCGCAGAUUAUUUGUUUACCAACUUAGAACACAGGAUGUCAGCGCCAUCUUGUGACGGCGAAUGUGGGGGCGGCUUCCCACAAAUUGUCAGCAGGGAAUUGUUUCUACACAGCUUGGGGUGAAGAGAAGUUUGAGCCCUUAAUGACUAGAGGUGGUCUGGGAGCCUGAAUGGACUCUGUGCUAAGGGCUUAGAUGGUGAAUAAUAGCUCUUUCUCUGUUUGCUACCACAAAUACCUUGCAGCGAGUAUGCCAGAAACAAGUCAUGAAGCAAACUGCCUUCUUUAGGAAGAAGGGAAAACAGACAUGCUACACAGGCCAAGGGGCAGCUCAGUGUACAGUGCUUGUAUAGCAUGUUGUCCUCCGAGGCUGUGCAUUCAAACCCCAGGGCUGCCCAGGACGGGGAUGAGCAAGUAUUGCUCUGCAGUGGGCAAUUCAGGGGCAGAACUGAAGCGCGGAGUUGAUUCUGCUUGUCUGCACAUGGCUGAGAAUGAGGCAGCCAAGACCAGGAAGCAGUAUCUGACUAGAGCUGUGUUCACAUGAGCAUCAUCACUUGGCAGGCUGCAUUCUACAGGAAUGGUGAGGUUGAUGACAUGCACUUUAAAUACCAAUGUGAGCUUGGGGUGUAGCUCCGUGGUUGCCUAGCAUGUGGAAGUCCCUGGGUUUAGUUCAGAGUACCACCCACUCCACCCCUCGAAAAAGCCAAAGAAAAUAAAUAAAAAUUAAUAAUUAAGACGUGGCAUGGUAACACAUAUGUAUAAUCCCAUCUCUCAGAAGGCAGAGGCGGGCAAAUCUCUCUGAGUUGAGGCUGGCCAGGAAUAAGACCAUUUCUCAAAGAAGAAAAGGAAAGGAAAGGGAAAGGGAAAAAAGGAAAAAGGAAAAAGGAAAGGGAGAAAGGGAAAGGGAAAAGGGAAAGGAAAAAGCAAAGGAGAAAGG